UGGGGAAUUUUGGACAAUGGGCGAAAGCCUGAUCCAGCAAUGCCGCGUGUGUGAAGAAGGCCUUCGGGUUGUAAAGCACUUUUGUCCGGAAAGAAAUCCUUGGCUCUAAUACAGUCGGGGGAUGACGGUACCGGAAGAAUAAGCACCGGCUAACUACGUGCCAGCAGCCGCGGUAAUACGUAGGGUGCAAGCGUUAAUCGGAAUUACUGGGCGUAAAGCGUGCGCAGGCGGUUUGCUAAGACCGAUGUGAAAUCCCCGGGCUCAACCUGGGAACUGCAUUGGUGACUGGCAGGCUAGAGUAUGGCAGAGGGGGGUAGAAUUCCACGUGUAGCAGUGAAAUGCGUAGAGAUGUGGAGGAAUACCGAUGGCGAAGGCAGCCCCCUGGGCCAAUACUGACGCUCAUGCACGAAAAGCGUGGGGAGCAAAACAGGAUUAGUACCCUGGUAGUCCACGCCCUAAACGAUGUCAACUAGUUGUUGGGGAUUCAUUUCCUUAGUAACGUAGCUAACGCGUGAAGUUGACCGCCUGGGGAGUACGGUCG
rnacentral:rRNA from 1 species